rnacentral:rRNA from 1 species
AGUAUCUUCGAGAUAUGAGUAGAGCGGCGGACGGGUGAGUAACGCGUAGGAAUCUACCUAGUAGAAGGGGAUAGCCCGAGGAAACUCGGAUUAAUACCGUAUACCUCCUUCGGGGGAAAGAAGGCCUCUCUUUGAAGCUUUCGCUACUAGAUGAGCCUGCGUAAGAUUAGCUUGUUGGUGAGGUAAAGGCUCGCCAAGGCGACGAUCUUUAGCGGGUCUGAGAGGACGAUCCGCCACAUUGGGACUGAGACACGGCCCAGACUCCUACGGGAGGCAGCAGUGGGGAAUAUUGGACAAUGGGCGCAAGCCUGAUCCAGCCAUACCGCGUGUGUGAAGAAGGCCCUAGGGUUGUAAAGCACUUUAAGUUGGGAAGAAAAGUUAUUGGUUAAUACCCAAUGACCGUGACAUUACCAUCAGAAUAAGGACCGGCUAAUUCCGUGCCAGCAGCCGCGGUAAUACGGAAGGUCCAAGCGUUAAUCGGAAUUACUGGGCGUAAAGCGCGCGUAGGUGGUUUAUUAAGUUGGAUGUGAAAUCCCCGGGCUCAACCUGGGAACUGCAUCCAAAACUGAUUCACUAGAGUACGAUAGAGGGAGGUAGAAUUCACAGUGUAGCGGUGGAAUGCUUAUAUAUUGUGAAGAAUACCAAUGGCGAAGGCAGCCUCCUGGAUCUGUACUGACACUGAGGUGCGAAAGCGUGGGUAGCGAACAGGAUUAGAUACCCUGGUAGUCCACGCCGUAAACGAUGUCAACUAGCUGUUGGGGAACUAUGUUCUUCUUGGCGCAGCUAACGUAGUAAGUUGACCGUCUGGAGAGUACGGCCGCAAGGCUAAACUCAAAUGAAUUGACGGG